rnacentral:rRNA from 1 species
GGAUUGGUACUAAGCCUGCGAGUCGUUGUAGCAAUACAAGGCGGACUGCUCAGUAACACGUAGUUAAUCUAACCUAUGGACGGGGAUAACCUCGGGAAACUGAGAAUAAUCCCCGAUAGAUCACAGUGCCUGGAAUGGCCUGUGGUUCAAAUGAUUUAUCGCCGUAGGAUGGGACUGCGGCCUAUCAGCUAGUUGGUGAGGUAAUGGCCCACCAAGGCUAUAACAGGUACGGGCUCUGAGAGGAGGGGCCCGGAGAUGGGUACUGAGACACGGACCCAGGCCCUAUGGGGCGCAGCAGGCGAGAAACCUUUGCAAUGUGCGAAAGCACGACAAGGUUAAUCCGAGUGUCUCCUGCUAAAGGAGUCUUUUGUCAGUCGUAGAACCACUGGUGAAUAAGGGGUGGGCAAGUUCUGGUGUCAGCCGCCGCGGUAAAACCAGCACCUCGAGUGGUCAGGAGGUUUAUUGGGCCUAGAGCAUCCGUAGCCGGCUAUCUAAGUUUUUGGUUAAAUCUAUGCGCUUAACGUAUAGGCUGCCGAAAAUACUGGACAGCUAGGGAGUGGGAGAGGUACACGGUACUCGAUAGAAAGGGGUAAAAUCCUUUGAUCUAUUGAUGACCACCUGUGGCGAAGGCGGUGUACCAGAACACGUUCGACGGUGAGGGAUGAAAGCUGGGGGAGCAAACCGGAUUAGAUACCCGGGUAGUCCCAGCUGUAAACGAUGCAGACUCGGUGAUGCCUUGGCUUGUGGCCAAUGCAGUGCCGCAGGGAAGCCGUUAAGUNCUGCCGNCCUGGGAAGUACGUACGCAAG